UUAUGAUUGUCUGUAUUUGUUUCUGUCAAGUUACUUUUUAUAUUAAAAAAUAACACUCCUGUCCACGAAUAAGCUGGGUACAAGGUACUUUAUGGCAGUUAUUUUUUUUGUUUUGUUUUGUUUUGUUAAAUUGUAACCAUAGAUUUUUCGUUAUCGAUUCUAAAGAAAAGGGCAAUCUGUGGAGAAAGAGAAACAUGUUCACCACCGAGGCAGCUGUGGGAUGAGGCUCAGAGAUGGACGGUCCGAGAUCACAGGAACGACUCGACACGUUCUCUCAUCCCAGUCUUAGUCGGUCACCCAGUUCGGUUGGCAUCUAAAACGCGGAUAGAAAAACUGGUGGAUUUGGACCUUUUUAGCAUGUGUAGCUUGACGUUACUAAAGAUAACAGCAUGAGAAAACUGUUAGUACACAUACCUCAGUUCAAAUCUAUAGGGAAUGAUUCAAUUAAUAAAAGAGAGAAAAAAAAAGAAGAAAAACAUUUCACUCAGUUGCACUUAGUCGUAUGUCUUGCAUGUUUAGUCUAAAAACUGUAGCGGGGAGAAUAUUUUAAAAAGCUAUAAAAAAAAAAAAAAGAUUUCUAAAAACAGACACAUUUAGAGCUUGUUUCAUCUGGGGAAUCUCGCAUUCUUUUAUUUUGCAAACCAUUUGCAAACCAGUCCAGACCUCAGGCCUUUUUUCCAUAAAGAAGUCACCUUGCUUUGCUUUACUCCAUCACCUUUGAACCCCACUGAUGGUUGCGUUUUAGUGGGCUUUUCUUCCAAUAGGUUGUACAUACAUGACCGUAUGACCUUGUGUCCUGUCUUGUUUCCCUUCCUUGUUCCGUUCACAGAACAACAACAAAAAAAUGUUUGUAUUAUUCUCUUUUCUUUAUCACAACUGCUUUGUAUUUACUAUUAAAGAAAAAAAAAAGCUAUGAAAAAAAAAACAGCUGUAUGUAUUGAAAUAGCAAACUGUGCUGCAAAUGUAUUUUACUUAGUAAUCCUUGCUUAAAAAGAAAGUCAUACCAACGGACAUCUGCGUGAGGUGGUCAGGGGUGGGACGGGGGAGGGCUGGGAUGGAGAACGGGGGAUAAUCCCUGACUUUGGGUUUUAAACUGUAAAAUAGAGAAAAACACGUUUUUUUUCCCUCUCUCUCUCUGUUAUCAUUGACCUAAGCAUUUUGUACAGAUUUUUUCCCCUCUUUUUUGUGUUAAGCUGUUUUUGAUACUUCCCUUCCUUUCCUUUUUUUGAUGGUCCAACCACUGCCUUCUCGACUGUGGCUGUACUGUG
ensembl:lncRNA